CGAAACACACGGAGGAAAUGGCAGCAGCGAGGGAUAAGGGGAGGCAAAGGAGGUAGAAGAAUGAUCUGAUGUGGAGGAGAUAAACGGCGUUGUCACGAGAUUCAUGCGAAACGUGACGCGCUUCCAUGAGAGUGGAAGUGAAACGCGCGAGGGCUUCGAGAUGGUAGAUAUGGUUACGAAGGGUGUGUGUGGAGAUAGAGAGAUUGAAGAGAAGAAAAAAGAGUGGGAGUGUUGUGAAAGAAGCGAUGAAAAAGAAUACGAGUUUGUUGAUGUGAAUUAUUCUCAGUGGUUCCAACAAAACCCAAACCCAACCUUCCUUUCCUUUUACUAUCAACAUUUUUUUAGUGUGAGAGAUAAAGCUCUUGCUAAGCACUCAAUAUGUUAUUG
rnacentral:lncRNA from 1 species